rnacentral:rRNA from 1 species
UGGGAACGUGCCUUUAGGUUCGGAAUAGCUCCUGGAAACGGGUGGUAAUGCCGAAUGUGCCCUUCGGGGGAAAGAUUUAUCGCCUUUAGAGCGGCCCGCGUCUGAUUAGCUAGUUGGUGGGGUAAUGGCCCACCAAGGCUACGAUCAGUAGCUGGUCUGAGAGGAUGACCAGCCACAUUGGGACUGAGACACGGCCCAAACUCCUACGGGAGGCAGCAGUGGGGAAUCUUGCGCAAUGGGCGAAAGCCUGACGCAGCCAUGCCGCGUGUAUGAUGAAGGUCUUAGGAUUGUAAAAUACUUUCACCGGUGAAGAUAAUGACUGUAGCCGGAGAAGAAGCCCCGGCUAACUUCGUGCCAGCAGCCGCGGUAAUACGAAGGGGGCUAGCGUUGCUCGGAAUUACUGGGCGUAAAGGGAGCGUAGGCGGACAUUUAAGUCAGAGGUGAAAUCCCGGAGCUUAACUUCGGAACUGCCUUUGAUACUGGGUGUCUUGAGUGUGAGAGAG